GGUUACUGUAGCUCUGUAAUGGGAUGGGAUCCGAAGCCCCAUUGAGGGAUAAUACAGGCUCUCCC
rnacentral:ribozyme from 1 species